GCCAAACCGUUCUACAGACGAUUUUGUGAGAGGACUGAUUUUCAGGAUGUCUCAUGGUCUGACAAACACAGCUCUGGCUCUGUCACCUUUCACUGCAUUAGCAGAAUAAUACAAAUCCCCAUAAGAAUCCGUCAGUUUAAGCUAGAGAUAUCUGUUUUCAUUGGAUGUGUCUCAAUCCACCGCAUCUGCCGAUGGCGCACUUUCACAUCUGUGGUGAAAGAUAACAGAGAUAACAGAGAUAACAGAGCUAGAGGGUGUCUGUCAGACCAUGAGACAAAUAAUUGUUUUAUAUAUUUUUUGAUAUGCUACUUCAAGAGGUCUAUAAUUACUAAUCAAAUAGCAAAAUUAUCCUUUGUAUGACUUUCUUAAAACAAUUCCGUACAGCUUAGUAGAUCUUCCCGUCUUAGACAGGCCUGAGACUGUAAUGGGUUAAUGGUCCAAACAGUUCAGUUUUCAGCAAGGGACCCUCCCUAAAUAAACAAUUCCUUCUUUUAACAGUACCACUUUACAUUAAGGUACCGGUUAUAAAGAGUAUAUAAAUGUAACGGGUGUGAAAUAGCUAGCUAGUUAGCGGUGGUGCGCGUUAAAUUGCGUUUCAAUCGGUGACGUCACUUGCUCUGAGACUUCAAGUAGUGGUUCCUCUUAACCGCGGCUUUUGUGGAGCGAUGGGUAACGAUGCUUCGUGGGUGACUGUUGUUGAUGUGUGCAGAGGGUGCUCGGUUCGAGCCCGGGCGAGCCCGUCCCGGUUUAAAGUUAUACUGUUACAUAAAGUUGGUUAUAAAUAUUACAUUAUUAGUUUAUAGAUAAUAAACUAUAGAUAAUAUCUAGUUAAUAUUAGUUAAUAACCCGUUUAUUGUAAGAGAUUUAGCCACAACCUACAUUCUUCGUAUAGAAAAGAGUUGUAAAUAAUGUGUUGAAAAUCCCAUUUCUAUAGCCUAAUCAUGCAUCUGACACACUGGGUGUACUGUAGACCCAAAGUGAUGAUAAAAAGCACAAGCCACACUGUUUCGUAAAUAAUGUCCUAAUAUUUUAGUAAAUGGCAUUUGUUUUUAUCAUAUCAAAAGUCAAUUUAGAAAUGUCGAACCAACCUUACUUUGUAGGCUAAUGCGCUAAAUUAAAACUUUGCCCUGACCGGCACCAGAAUGAAUUAGCUGCUAUCCGAAUCUAUUCGGUAUUAAGGUCUAAAGGUUGACUGAUGACUGAUGAACUCUCGGACUUCGUGGUGGCUCUGAUAAACCGUUGAGCCUGCAUGCGCAGUAAAGUCUGUGACCUUGCGCUCGACAACACGAACGUAGACGUCACCACAGACAUGCUGGCACAUAUACUGGCAAUGUAAUCAAGAUACCACCAGAGAGCGCUACAAUAUUAAUCAAAUCGAAUCAAAUCAAAAUGUAUUAGUCACAUGCGACGAAUACAACAGGUGUAGGUAGACCUUACAAUGAAAUGCUUACUUAUGAGCCCCUAACCAACAAUGCAGUACAAAAAAUAAUAAUACGAAUAAGAACUAAAAGUAACAAGUAAUUAAGGAGCAGCAGUAAAAUAACAAUAGCGAGACUAUUUACAGAGGGUACUGGUCAAUCUGCGGGGGCACCGAUUAGUCGUGGUAAUUGAGGUAAUGUGUACAUGUAGGAGUUAUUAAAGCGACUACAACUAAUAAAUAGUACUAUUAAUAAAUGCGGCAAUUCAGAUUCCCCUGACAUUG
rnacentral:lncRNA from 13 species